rnacentral:rRNA from 1 species
GUAGGGUGCGAGCGUUAAUCGGAAUUACUGGGCGUAAAGCGUGCGCAGGCGGUGAGUUAAGUCUGCUGUGAAAGCCCCGGGCUCAACCUGGGAAUGGCAGUGGAAACUGGCUCGCUGGAGUGUGGCAGAGGGGGGUGGAAUUCCGCGUGUAGCAGUGAAAUGCGUAGAGAUGCGGAGGAACACCGAUGGCGAAGGCAGCCCCCUGGGCCAACACUGACGCUCAGGCACGAAAGCGUGGGGAGCAAACAGGAUUAGAUACCCUGGUAGUCCACGCCCUAAACGAUGUCAACUGGGUGUUGGGGAAGCGAUUCCUUGGUACCGUAGCUAACGCGUGAAGUUGACCGCCUGGGGAGUACGGCCGCAAGGUUA